GACGAACCGUCCAAACGUUACUCGGAAUUACUGGGCUUAAAGGGUGCGUAGGCUGCGCGGAAAGUUGGGUGUGAAAUCCCUCGGCUCAACCGGGGAAUUGCAUCCAAAACUACCGUGCUCGAGGGAGACAGAGGUAAGCGGAACUCAAGGUGGAGCGGUGAAAUGCGUUGAUAUCUUGAGGAACACCGGUGGCGAAAGCGGCUUACUGGGUCUCUUCUGACGCUGAGGCACGAAAGCUAAGGUAGAAAACGGG
rnacentral:rRNA from 1 species